AUUUUUAUUUUUUGUAAAUAACUAUAGCAGUGGUUUUUUGUACCCACAAGCUUAACACAGAAUAUGUCCAUGUGCCUUUGUGAUAUACGUUGGCCAUCCAAACUGUCAUUUUUCCUGACAAUGUGAGCGGCAAGAGGAUGAACAAAUAAAAA